rnacentral:snoRNA from 1 species
UUAUGGCAAGAAUGAUGAAAAAAAAUUAGAUGUGCGAGGGGUGAAUUCCUCUAUGAGCUUAACAUCGAGGCAUAUUUAUAGUCUGACUUGCCUUCA